AAACAUCCCUCUACUUACUUCCUCAUCAUCAGAACAACUUUUCCACUUCCAAAUUCCUGUUUUGCAUUCUGCACCUUCCAGACCAUCAUCUACGUCACUUCUGAUUUGGGAGACAGCUGUCCAUCACUUUAGUCUGCUUUCACAGAAGAUGGAGACAGAGCAAAUGUCCUUAUUGAGAUGGGAAAACUGAGGCAGAGUGAUUAAGCAACUUGCUUUAAAUUCCUGUCUGAUCCAGGAUUUUCAUAGAUGGGACCUUGCCUCCUGAUCAAGUGUAUAGACCAUUGAGACAACAGCUUUCUAUAUGUCCCAGGAAAGUGGGACACCCCUUUGGCAAUCUGUCAGUGCCAGGCUCAGCUGCUUCCUUUCACUGAGUGAUUUCUAACCAGAC